rnacentral:tRNA from 1 species
GUGAUAUUGACAUUUUUUUUUAGAAAAUAGUUGCACCCAACUCAUAAUUGGGAAGUCGCGGGUUCAAUUCCUGCUGGAUGCA